CCUACGUGUAGCAGCCGUCGAGAAUCAUUCACAAUGGGGGAAACCCUGAUGGUGCGACGCCGCGUGGGGGAAUGAAGGUCUUCGGAUUGUAAACCCCUGUCAUGUGGGCGCAAAUUAAAAAGAUAGUACCACAAGAGGAAGAGACGGCUAACGCUGUGCAAGCAGCCGCGGUAAUACAGAGGUCUCAAGCGUUGUUCGGAAUCACUGGGCGGAAAGCGUGCGUAGGCUGUUUCGUAAGUCGUGUGUGAACGGCGCGGGCAAAACCCGCGGACGGCACAUGAUACUGCGAGACUAGAGUAAUGGAGGGGGAACCGGAAUUCUCGGUGUAGCGGGGAAAUGCG
rnacentral:rRNA from 1 species